UACGGAGGAUCCAAGCGUUAUCCGGAUUUACUGGGUUUAAAGGGUGCGUAGGCGGCUAUUUAAGUCAGGGGUGAAAGACGGUAGCUCAACUAUCGCAGUGCCCUUGAUACUGAGUAGCUUGAAUAAACUAGAGGUAGGCGGAAUGAGACAAGUAGCGGUGAAAUGCAUAGAUAUGUCUCAGAACACCGAUUGCGAAGGCAGCUUACUAUUGUUUUAUUGACGCUGAGGCACGAAAGCGUGGGGAUCAAACAGG
rnacentral:rRNA from 1 species